rnacentral:rRNA from 1 species
UACGGAGGGAGCUAGCGUUGUUCGGAAUUACUGGGCGUAAAGCGCACGUAGGCGGCUUUGUAAGUUAGAGGUGAAAGCCCGGAGCUCAACUCCGGAAUUGCCUUUAAGACUGCAUCGCUUGAACAUCGGAGAGGUAAGUGGAAUUCCGAGUGUAGAGGUGAAAUUCGUAGAUAUUCGGAAGAACACCAGUGGCGAAGGCGACUUACUGGACGAUUGUUGACGCUGAGGUGCGAAAGCGUGGGGAGCAAACAGG